CCUACGGGAGGCAGCAGUGGGGGAUAUUGCACAAUGGGGGGAACCCUGAUGCAGCGACGCCGCGUGGGUGAAGGAGCGCUUCGGCGCGUAAAGCUCUAUCGGCAGGGAAGAAGAUGACGGUACCUGACCAAGAAGCCCCGGCGAACUACGGGCCAGCAGCCCCGGUAAUAUGUAGGGGGCAAGCGUUUUCCGGAUUUACUGGGUGGAAAGGGGGCGCAGACGGCAAUGCAAGCCAGGAGUGAAAGCGCGGGGACCAACCCCGGGACUGCUCUUGGAACUGGAUGGCUGGAGUACAGGAGGGGCAGGCGGAAUUCCUAGUGUAGCGGUGAAAUGCGUAGAUAUUAGGAGGAACACCGGUGGCGAAGGCGGCCUGCUGGACUGUGACUGACGUUGAGGCCCGAAGGCGUGGGGAGCAAACAGGAUUAGAUACCCCGGUAGUC
rnacentral:rRNA from 1 species